rnacentral:rRNA from 1 species
CAACUCCGUUUGAUCCUGGGGGAGGCUACUGCUAUUGGGGUCCGAUUAAGCCAUGCGAGUCGAACGUCCCUUCGGGGACGUGGCG